rnacentral:sRNA from 1 species
UCAAUAUCAGUAUAAUGAGAGCCACAUA